GCAGGUGAAUGCAACGUCAAGCGAUGGGCGUUGCGCUCCAUAAUUGUCUUACUUUCUUAUUUUUAGAAUUACUGCAUAGCAAAUUUGAUUCACACGAUGCCGGUGUUAUCACCGGCAUUU
rnacentral:sRNA from 1 species